rnacentral:tRNA from 2 species
AUUUAUAUAGUUUAGUAAAAACAUUACAUUUUCACUGUAAAAAUAAAAUAAUAAUUUUUAUAAAUA